rnacentral:misc_RNA from 1 species
AAGUCGUAACAAGGUUUCCGUAGGUGAACCUGCGGAAGGAUCAUUGCCUGAGGGCGCGAGGCCGAGUGUGACCACGUCGCCGUCAAAAAGCGACGGUUCGCGGAGCCCGCGCAUUAUACUCAUGACCCAUGUGAACCAAAGUGACGUGACGGUGGCGUCGUUGCCGCGCGUUCGCGCGCGUGCAUCGACCCUCCAUCUCUCCUUUUUUAUUACCAACCACGUUUACCUUGCUUCUCUGACUGAGAUUGAAGCGACCUUAAAACCGUCGCGACCAAACCAAACAUAUCACAACUUUUAACAACGGAUAUCUUGGCUCGC